rnacentral:rRNA from 1 species
UACGAAGGGGGCUAGCGUUGCUCGGAAUCACUGGGCGUAAAGGGCGCGUAGGCGGCUCUUUAAGUCGGGGGUGAAAGCCUGAGGCUCAACCUCAGAAUUGCCUUCGAUACUGGAGAUCUUGAGUCCGGAAGAGGUAAGUGGAACUGCGAGUGUAGAGGUGAAAUUCGUAGAUAUUCGCAAGAACACCAGUGGCGAAGGCGGCUUACUGGUCCGGUUCUGACGCUGAGGCGCGAAAGCGUGGGGAGCAAACAGG